AACGCUAGCUACAGGCUUAACACAUGCAAGUCGAGGGGCAGCAUUGGAGUAGCAAUACUUCAGAUGGCGACCGGCGCACGGGUGAGUAACACGUAUCCAACCUGCCGCUUACUCGGGGAUAGCCUUUCGAAAGAAAGAUUAAUACCCGAUGGUAUAAAGAGUUCGCAUGUUCUCUUUAUUAAAGAAUUUCGGUUAUCGAUGGGGAUGCGUUCCAUUAGGCAGUUGGUGAGGUAACGGCUCACCAAACCUUCGAUGGAUAGGGGUUCUGAGAGGAAGGUCCCCCACAUUGGAACUGAGACACGGUCCAAACUCCUACGGGAGGCAGCAGUGAGGAAUAUUGGUCAAUGGGCGCAGGCCUGAACCAGCCAAGUAGCGUGAAGGAUGACUGCCCUAUGGGUUGUAAACUUCUUUUAUAUGGGAAUAAAGUUUUCCACGUGUGGAAUUUUGUAUGUACCAUAUGAAUAAGGAUCGGCUAACUCCGUGCCAGCAGCCGCGGUAAUACGGAGGAUCCGAGCGUUAUCCGGAUUUAUUGGGUUUAAAGGGAGCGUAGGUGGACAGUUAAGUCAGUUGUGAAAGUUUGCGGCUCAACCGUAAAAUUGCAGUUGAUACUGGCUGUCUUGAGUACAGUAGAGGUGGGCGGAAUUCGUGGUGUAGCGGUGAAAUGCUUAGAUAUCACGAAGAACUCCGAUUG
rnacentral:rRNA from 1 species